CUUUAUUUUACUACCAGCAAUAUUUCUGUUGUUAUGAUUGUCAGGGACGAUUCUGCACAUUCAAAUAACAAGAUGUGAAAAACACAACUUUCUAAGGCAAAUUAUGAAUGGACAAGUACAUUAGUUCCGGUUUAUACCUUUAGCAAAUUGCAUGAGCGGAAGGAACAGACUUAAACAUAUCUCCACCAAUAUAUUUCAAGUUGCUGCCCCCUUCCAAGCCUUCGACCACAUGAGGCAGGUCGAAAACAGAGCAUAUUUCAAC